rnacentral:rRNA from 1 species
GAGCGAAUGGAUUAAGAGCUUGCUCUUAUGAAGUUAGCGGCGGACGGGUGAGUAACACGUGGGUAACCUGCCCAUAAGACUGGGAUAACUCCGGGAAACCGGGGCUAAUACCGGAUAACAUUUUGAACCGCAUGGUUCGAAAUUGAAAGGCGGCUUCGGCUGUCACUUAUGGAUGGACCCGCGUCGCAUUAGCUAGUUGGUGAGGUAACGGCUCACCAAGGCAACGAUGCGUAGCCGACCUGAGAGGGUGAUCGGCCACACUGGGACUGAGACACGGCCCAGACUCCUACGGGAGGCAGCAGUAGGGAAUCUUCCGCAAUGGACGAAAGUCUGACGGAGCAACGCCGCGUGAGUGAUGAAGGCUUUCGGGUCGUAAAACUCUGUUGUUAGGGAAGAACAAGUGCUAGUUGAAUAAGCUGGCACCUUGACGGUACCUAACCAGAAAGCCACGGCUAACUACGUGCCAGCAGCCGCGGUAAUACGUAGGUGGCAAGCGUUAUCCGGAAUUAUUGGGCGUAAAGCGCGCGCAGGUGGUUUCUUAAGUCUGAUGUGAAAGCCCACGGCUCAACCGUGGAGGGUCAUUGGAAACUGGGAGACUUGAGUGCAGAAGAGGAAAGUGGAAUUCCAUGUGUAGCGGUGAAAUGCGUAGAGAUAUGGAGGAACACCAGUGGCGAAGGCGACUUUCUGGUCUGUAACUGACACUGAGGCGCGAAAGCGUGGGGGAGCAAACAGGAUUAGAUACCCUGGUAGUCCACGCCGUAAACGAUGAGUGCUAAGUGUUAGAGGGUUUCCGCCCUUUAGUGCUGAAGUUAACGCAUUAAGCACUCCGCCUGGGGAGUACGGCCGCAGGCUGAAACUCAAAGGAAUUGAC